rnacentral:lncRNA from 1 species
UCUGGAUCCGAGGACAAAGAACACCCACAAGAACCUUCCAGGUGUGCAAAAGGAGAUUCGAAGCUCACCAGAGUGCAGCCCCUCAUGCGUCUCUCUCAAGCUCGAGUGACUUAGUGAAUGAAACGCUCGUGUCCACUCGGAACUGCUUAGGGAGCCGGAGGGAGGCUGGGCUGUGCCCUGGUGCCAUCCCCGAUCCCCCUCAGCCCAGCCAGGGACAUACAGCACCUAAAU